rnacentral:rRNA from 1 species
GAUGAACGCUGGCGGCGUGCCUAAUACAUGCAAGUAGAACGCUGAAGCUUGGUGCUUGCACCGAGCGGAUGAGUUGCGAACGGGUGAGUAACGCGUAGGUAACCUGCCUCUUAGCGGGGGAUAACUAUUGGAAACGAUAGCUAAUACCGCAUAAAAGCCGUUAUCGCAUGAUAUUGAUUUGAAAGGUGCAUUUGCCUCACUAAGAGAUGGACCUGCGUUGUAUUAGCUAGUUGGUGAGGUAACGGCUCACCAAGGCAACGAUACAUAGCCGACCUGAGGGGGUGAUCGGCCACACUGGGACUGAGACACGGCCCAGACUCCUACGGGAGGCAGCAGUAGGGAAUCUUCGGCAAGGGGGGCAACCCUGACCGAGCAACGCAGCGUGAGUGAAGAAGGUUUUCGGAUCGUAAAGCUCUGUUGUAAGAGAAGAACGAGUGUGAGAGUGGAAAGUUCACACUGUGACGGUAACUUACCAGAAAGGGACGGCUAACUACGUG